UACAGAGGUGGCAAGCGUUGUUCGGAAUUACUGGGCGUAAAGGGCGCGUAGGCGGCUCUUUAAGUCCCGUGUGAAAGCCCCCGGCUCAACCGGGGAACUGCACGGGAAACUGGAAGGCUUGAGUUCGGGAGAGGGAAGCGGAAUUCCGGGUGUAGCGGUGAAAUGCGUAGAUAUCCGGAGGAACACCGGUGGCGAAGGCGGCUUCCUGGACCGACACUGACGCUGAGGCGCGAAAGCUAGGGGAGCAAACGGG
rnacentral:rRNA from 1 species